GUGUGUAAUAAAACAACAAAUUCUAAUUUUCUGAAUAUUUUUUGGUUGUGGAAAUCAGGUUACUGGGAAAGUGACCUAUAAUGGACAUGAAAUGAAUAAAUUUGUGCCACAAAGAACUGCUGCUUAUAUUAGCCAGCAUGAUUUACACAUUGGAGAAAUGACUGUGCGAGAAACGUUGAAAUUCUCAGAUGCCAGGGAGUUGGCUCUCGUUAUGAUAUGUUGGCCGAACUGUCAAGAAGAGAGAAAGCAGCUAAAAUCAAGCCAGAUCCUGAUAUUGAUAUCUUUAUGAAGGAAAAAGACUAGCAUUUAAGGAAACAGCAAUACCGACGCCAGUGCUUAUAACCUUAAUUGUUUUGUGACAACAUAGGCAGCAGCAACAGAGGGACAAGAAGCCAAUGUUGUUACAGAUUAUGUUCUUAAGUUGUUGGGGUUGGAAAUUUGUGCCGAUACUUUGGUGGGAGAUGAAAUGAUAAGGGGUAUUUCAGGAGGACAAAAGAAGCGUGUGACAACAGGUGAAAUGCUUGUUGGACCGUCAAAGGCACUUUUCAUGGAUGAAAUUUCAACUGGAUUGGACAGUUCCACCACUUACUCCAUUGUUAACUCUCUAAGGCAAUUUGUGCAAAUCAUGAACGGAACUGCUAUUAUAUCUCUCUUGCAGCUAGCACCCGAGACCUACGACUUGUUUGAUGACAUUAUUCUGUUAUCAGAUGGGCAAAU